UACGGGGGGGGGUAAGCGUUGUUCGGAAUUACUGGGCGUAAAGGGCUCGUAGGCGGCCAACUAAGUCAUACGUGAAAUCCCUCAGCUUAACUGGGGAACUGCGUGUGAUACUGGAUGGCUUGGAUUUGGGAGAGGGAUGCGGAAUUCCAGGUGUAGCGGUGAAAUGCGUAGAUAUCUGGAGGAACACCGGUGGCGAAGGCGGCAUCCUGGACCGGCAUUGACGCUGAGGCGCGAAAGCUAGGGGAGCAAACGGGG
rnacentral:rRNA from 1 species